rnacentral:rRNA from 1 species
AUGGAGGAGGGUUCUGAGCGGCCCCCUCACCCACGCGCCACCCGGGCGCAAAACCCUAGCUGUGAGGAGGAGGAGGCCGCGGCGGCCGCCGGGCGGGUCAAAGACGAGAUUGCUGACGAUCUCAACGCCGACCCCGCGGAGGACGAGGAUGAGGAGGAGGUGGUGGUGGAGGAGGGCGAGGACGAGGUGCUCGUCGCCUCCGACGACGAUGACGGGGCGGCGGACGGCGCCGGAGGGGACGACGACUUCGUGCCGCGCACGCUGGAGGAAGCUCUCGUGCCGCGGGUGGGCACGGUGUUCGACUCCGUCGACGAGGCGUUUUCGCUCUACAAGGCAUACGCCUUCCGCAUGGGAUUCCACGCCGUGCGCCGCACCUGCCACAACUACGAGGGGAUUCGCUACCGCUCCACCUUCAGCUGCACUCAAGCUGGCAAGUCCCGGGAAGGGGCGGCCCCGUCGGAAGAUUCAGGCGCCCGCUACCCACUCCGCAACAAGCGUGGGGCAGCCACCCCAGAGAAGCGGGCUCGGCGUACCACCGCCGAGAAGACUGGAUGCAAGGCGAUGCUGAUCAUCCGUGACAAGCGGGUGAACGAUAGGUGGAAGGUGGAGUUCGUCGACUUGGAGCAUAACCACCCUUGCACACCGGAUAUGGUGAGGUUUUUAAAAGCCUACAGGGAGAUGCCAGAGUCAGCCAAGAAGAAGGCCAAGAUUACUGUUGAGAUGGAUGAGAUGGUGGAGAAGUCAUUGAGUGAGAUUGCUGAGACCAGGAAGUUUCCGACUCGCCCCAAGCGGAGUGUCAGUGGUGGAGCUGCUGCUGGUGGGUUGAGGUUUAAUAGAACCGACAGUUUUGUGCAGCGCUUCGGGGACGAAGAUCUCAUUGCAGUCAAGAAGUUCAUCGAAAUGAUGCAGGAAAAGAAACCAAACUUCAUUCAUAGCUGGGAUCUUGAUCAGGAAAGUCGCAUGAAGAAUUUUUUCUGGACAGAUUUGAGGUCUCAGGCCCAGUACCGCUACUUUGGUGAUGUCAUUUCACUUGAUGUAAUGUACUUGCAGCACUCUCGUGCUAGCCUCCCUUUGGCCACACUCCUUGGGGUGAAUAACCAUGGCCACCUUGUGCUACUUGGUUGUGGUCUGCUCUCCAAAGACAGUAAAGAGAACUAUGUCUGGUUGUUGAAGAGGUGGCUGGGCUGUAUGAAUGGCAAGCCACCAGAGGCGAUUACAACUUGUUAUUCAGAUGUUGUAGCAGAGGCUGUGUCUGAGGUCUUGCCAGAUGCAAGGCACCGCUUCUGCUUUUGGCAUAUCUUGAAGAAGCUCCAAGAAAACGUGGGACGCACACAUGAGAAAGAGGCAAUUUCUUUGAGAUUCAAGGAGGUUGUUUAUGACACAGUCACACUUACUGACUUUGAAAAGGAGUGGGAGGCCAUGGUUGAGCAUUAUAAGCUCAAAGAUAAUGAAUGGUUCUCUGCACUGUACAGCUGCCGGAAGCAGUGGGCUCCUGGUUAUGUCAAUCAUUCGUUUUGGGCUGGCACAUCUGCUAUCAGGAAGGUUGAAAAACCAGAUCCAUACUUUGAUGGUGUUGUGACAAGUAAAACCACAUUGCCAGUUUUCCUUGAGCAAUAUGAGACUACCCUCAGAGGGAAGCUGGAAAGGGAAGCAUACGAUGAUUUGCGCUCCUAUUAUUCUAGGCUCACUUUGCUGUCAGGAUUACCAUUUGAGGAGCAACUUCUGGAGCUGUAUACAGUACCCAUGUUUCAGGCAUUCCAAGACGAGAUCAAGCAAUUAAUGCAUGUUAUUUGUAAAGAGGUAGACAGGAGCGGGAAUUCAAUUACCUACAUGGUCAGCGAGUUAAUACAGGGCAAGAAGGUUGACUAUACGGUUGUCUACAACAAUUCUGACAAGGAUGUUUGGUGCAUUUGUCGCUCUUUUCCAUCACGGGGCAUUCUUUGCAGCCAUGCUCUGUCUGUUCUGAAGCAAGAGAAUGUGUUGAUGCUGCCAUCAAAGUACAUCCUCAGCCGCUGGAGGAAGGACUUCAGAAUUAUUCACGCGUCUGCAAGCUCGAACUCUGUGGCAUUGCAGAGAGAUUUGAGCAUUUUUGAUGAUCUGUACGUGCGUGGCCAUGAAUAUUUAGAAGAUGUUAUCGAUAUUGGGGCUAGAGAACCUGAGUUGAAGGAGUUUGUGCUGUCUGCCAUGAAAGAAGCGAAGGGCAAACUAGUAAGGCCUGGCCAGACCCAGCAAGGUGAUCAGCGGGUUGAUGUAAAUAUGGCAGUAACUGGUCAGGUAUCCGCUGAUAGAAGAGUUGAUGUGAACAUGGCAUCAAACACCACAUCCAUCAUUCACAGGGACAGAAGGGUUGAGGCAAACAUGCCAGUAAACACAAGAGCCCUGGUUCAUGAGGAUAACAUGGCAUCCAACACGACAUCCCUGAUCCAUGGGGACAGAAGAGCCGAUAUGGAAAUGCAAACACCCCACCUUAUCCACAGAGAGGGAAGAGUUGACAUGAACAUGACAGCCCCUCACUUGAUGCAGAGGGAGAGAAGAGUAGACGUGAAUAUGACGUCCCCUCACCUGAUCCAUGGGGACAGAAGAGUCGAUAUGAACCUGGGGUCGCCACAUUUCAUACACAGCGACAGAAGAGUUGAUAUGAACCUGACAUCCCCUCAUCUGAUACAUGGGGACAGGAGAGUUGAUAUGAACAUGGCGUCACCACACCUGAUACAUGGAGACAGAAGAGUUGAUAUGAACAUGACGUCCCCUCACAUGAUACACGGUGACACGAGAGUGGAUAUGAACAUGGUAUCCACUUCUCAGGAUGAUGCGAUGCACACUUUUGAUUUGGUGAACGUCAACCUGGAGAGUUCUUUGCCAAUGGCUGCAACAGAUUUCAUGCAAAUGCAUCCACACCCACCAGUUUACCAUCCCAAACAACUCCUCAAUAUGAGAGAUCAGGUGAUGGACUCAAACAAGAGAUCCAAUGUGGAAACCAAUACUUAUUUCAUCGGAGGUGGAAUGCAUGUGGGGUAG